CAUCAGCAAACUGGAACAGCUGGGUCUCAGCACCUCCCUCUGUAACUGGGUGCUAGACUUCCUCAGCCAGCGACCGCAAGCAGUACGCGUCGGUAACAACACCUCGAGCACCAUCACCCUGAGCACGGGAGCCCCCCAAGGCUGCGUACUCAGUCCUCUGCUCUUCACCCUAUUGACACACGACUGCACAGCAACCCACAACUCCAACCACCUGGUGAAGUUUGCGGACGACACAACUCUGGUGGGUUUCAUCACCAGGGGCGACGAGACUCACUACAGGAAAGAGGACUGUGUGUGUGUGUGUGUGUGUGUGUCUGACGUGAAGCCACUGUAGCAUUUGAAAUUAUUUGAUAAUCGUAUGCACUCGUGCAGGCUGAGUACGCAGGUCCAGGAUGGAAACUGCCCCGAGGAGAAAAGAAAAAUACUCAAUGAUGAAGUAAUCCAUGUCAAAUCAUUAAGCCGUCUGUGUUUGAUGAAGACCUGCCAGCUGCUGCUGUUAUCUUCUGGACAGCUGCUUCCAGCCGACUACAGACAGCAUUAAAGCUGGACGUCGUAGGUGAACCCACUCCCCAAAGGGCUCUCUGCCCUUUUAUUGGAAAGGAUUUAUUAAAACAGCCAGCUUCUGAAAAUUCAAUUGAAAAUCCACCAGUGUGACUGUUUUCCCUCCAACUGUAGUUGACCCCUUCAGAACAGAUGGAGCGAUUGGGAGCACAGGAGAGAUAAGCAGAAGUUGCAGCCUGUUUUUUUUUUUUUUGACUGCUUCAGAUGACUGGCAGGUGGAAGAGGCAAGAAAAAGUCAGUGGUGAUAAAUUAGUCUGAUCUUCAAUUGUUAGCUUGGUAUAUUAAAGGAGUGUUCCAGAGUGUCUGACCAGCUCUUCGUAUUUCCUCUGCACCAAAAAAAAAAAAAAAAAAAUCUGUCAAAUGUUGCCCUUUACCAUUUCCACAGCCAGUUUUCAUUUGCCUUUGAAGCCGUUCUCACCCACACUUUGGGCCAAGUCUGCUAACAUGUGACAUUCACAGAGGCUCACAGAGGAAAGCUGCCCACUCUUUGUGUCUGCAGUCUCUAUCAUAAAGCCUGACUUGAGCCAGGGAGGUUUGGCAGAAUCCUUAUGAAGCUCCAACGUUAUUAACAGCAUGGAGACCGAGUGAGCGCUAAAGCUUUGACUGAUAGUGAGCUAAACACAAGCACCAUGAGGAAUUCCAUGUGUUGAAGUGAAAGUCUCUGUUAGGUCAUGUGGUACACAAGAAAAAUAUUUCAACCCUAGAGAUUUAAUCUUAGCAAAACAAAGUAUUUUUUCUAGUAUUCUAGCUGGUUAUUCCUAAAAAGCUCUUUAGUUUUGAUGAGUCACCAAAGCAACGUCACAGUUUGUCAACUGCUAGGUUCUUUCCUAGCCAAUAACACAAACUUACAAUAUCAGAUCAGAAUCUCUUUAUUGUCAUAUGCACCAGGGAAGGUGAUACGAAAUUUAGUUUGUACGACCCGUUCCAAGAAAAAACAUGAAUAGACAA